rnacentral:misc_RNA from 1 species
UACGUAGGGUGCGAGCGUUGUCCGGAUUUAUUGGGUUUAAAGGGUGCGUAGGCGGCCUUUUAAGUCAGCGGUGAAAGCCCGGGGCUCAACCCCGGAACCGCCGUUGAUACUGGAAGGCUUGAGUACAGACGAGGUAGGCGGAAUUGAGGGUGUAGCGGUGAAAUGCUUAGAUACCCUCAAGAACACCGAUUGCGUAGGCAGCUUACUAGGCUGUAACUGACGCUGAGGCACGAAAGUGUGGGGAGCAAACAGG